UAGCUUUCCAUUUGUUUGUAUCCUCUUCUAUUUCUUUCAUCAGUGUUUUAUAGUUUUCCUGAUAAAGGUCUUACUUUGGUUCUUACAUUUCUCUGAUGAGUGGGUUAUGAAAGAAUCUAGGUAGAAAUAGUGACCAUGUCUAGGGAAAGAAAACUCAGAAUUUCUAAGAAGGGACGUCACAGAACUAAGUAGGGUUUCAGGACAGUUAUGCUUGCAUGUGGUUUCUUAACUGGCCUGCUGCUUCUUUCCAAAGUUUAAUCAGCCAGGUAGGUACUGAGCAUAAAUUCAGUGCUGGCACCUUUGCUGGCUGGGAUGUGAACAGAAAUAAAUAAUAUCAGGCCCUGCUUCCCCUAGGCAGCCUCCCACACAAGACCAAGUGGAUGUCUUGAUCAAGGGCAGAUUCCAUGGGCAUGGUGGAAAUCAUAAUGGUGAUGGUGAUGAUGAGUAACAUGAUAGAGUACUAACUCUAAGCCAAGCACCGUUACAAGUACUUUACAAAUAUUACUCAUUUGAUUCUUACAAACAUUCUUAUCCUCAUUUUAUAGGUGGGGAAACCAAGGCAUGGGGGAGGUGAACUAACUUGCCACACAGCUGAUAAAUACUAGAGCUGGUGAAGAAGGAGGCCGUCAGGGAAGGCUUCUGGGGAAGGUGCUGCACCUGUGCCAGGCCUGGAGCAGGUGAUAUCAAUAUGGAAGAAAGGGGAAGGCAUCACGCUUAGCUGGGGCAUGGUUUGUACUGGCUACAUGUCUCUUUGGAGUCCUGUUGCCAACCUGCCCACACUGGGCUCAGCAGCCCCAGGGAACUCUGGGCCUGCCCUGGCCUCCACCUGCCACACUGCCUUAGUGAACAUUCCCUCAGCCUGGCACAAAGCAGGAGGUUUUGGGUAGUUGCUGGACCCUUGGGACUUGAUGUUUACACCUGCUCACAGGUGGAUGCUGCUUCAACAACCACUCCUGAUUUCUUUUGAUACUUCUCUUGCUGAAAAUAGUUGAAUUACAAAAACAAUGCACAGUCAUGAUAGAAAAUGCGCAAUCAUUAUGCACGGAGUGGGAAGACAACCAGAACCGACUCCUGCUGCUUUUUCAAGUUGGAGGAGAUGACUCUCAAAAGGUUUCUUGAUGAAAUUUCCAACAUAAAAGACAAGAUCUUAUUGCUGGAAGAAGUGGAUUUUGUGAGGGAGGGCCUCAUACUCUGCAUAUGAAAACAAAGAACCUGAGGAUUUUGUUGUGUCCUCUUGGUGGCAGGUGAGUAUCCUGAAGGCACAGAGUGGAGCCUGGAGGGGGCAGAAGUGAGGCCAUCCCUCUCCCCUGGUGAGCGUCCAGUGAAAAUCUCCCAGAAGCAGGGUCAGCCAGGACACGUCAGAACAGAGAUGUUCAUGUAGAUUUUAAGUUGUCUAUAGUACCAUGUAGGGCUGUAGCCCCUCAGCAGUGCCUCAUGUAAGAUACUCCUUGGGGGAAGUCAAAGAAAAGGGGCAGUGUUCCAUAUUUGGGUUAACUAGGGGCAGACAGAAGGGAACAGCUGCAGAAAGCAGGAUGCCAGGGAAAUCGAGAGCAGCAGGAAGAGGAAACUGGAGUGAACAUGACAGCUACUAGCACCAGGAAAUUUGCAGCGGUGUUGGGGGAGGGCCAUGGACUUUGCACAAGACAUAGGACGAAUAUUUCAGCCAUUUUUAUUUCAAUGUUAAAAGAAAGCAUGAUCCCGUUAAUCUGGAAGAUUUGAGGAUACUGAGAUGGCAGAAAUAUGGGCUACAAACAUAAACAAAUGGAAGAAAAUACCCCCUCUCCACCCAUCAAGAAGAAAGAGUAACUCCAAACAUUUUGAUCUGCAUGGAAGCCCUGCCCUUUGAAGUCGCUCAUGGACCCAGACUGAUAGAGGAUCUGUCUCAGCACAUGCUUCAAGAUUCUCAUACGUACAGAAAACAGAGAACAUGGUUAACCCUGAGCUGGCUCCUAAAGCUUCUUCCCAGAAGAUACACACACCACUUAGCCAAAGUAAAUCACAUAGGAUUCCUAGUACAAUGGUGAAGUGAUGAUAGCAGGUAUUCUACUGUGUUCCCUGUUGCAGAGAAGCUUUUAAGUUUUCACCAUUAAAUAACUUUGAAGAUAUUCCAUUGUCUCUGGCUUCUACAGUUUCCACUGAUAAGUUACCUGGCAGCCUCAUUGUUGUUGUUCCAGUCAAGGUAAUCUCUCGAUUCUUUACUGUUUUUGAUAUUGUUUCUUUGUCAUUUUUUAAAAAUAAUUUACUAUUAUUUGCCUGAAUGUGGUAUUUAUUCAGCGUGGGUUUCACAAUGUGUCCUGAAUCUGGGGCUUUGUCUUUUGUCAGUUUUAGAAAUUCUUCAUCCACUAUCUCUUUAGAUACUGCUUUUUCAAAUUUUCUCCCCUGUCCUUCCAGGAUUCUGUUUACACAUACGUUAGACCUUAGCACUGUAUUCUGUAUGUCUUUUAUGUUCAUAUCUGUAUUUUCAAUCCCUUUGCCUCUCCAUGAAUCUGGUUAUUCAUUGUGGAUAUUUUCU